UGCUGGGAUUACAGGCAUGAGCCACCGCACCCGACUGACUGUGGUAUUUUGUUAUAGCAGCCUGAACAGACUAAGACGGGCGUGUUGCUUCCAUCAAAGACUAUACUAAGUUGUGGAUUAUUUGUGAAAUUGAAUUACAAUCUUAUCUUUUCCUUAAGGUCUUUUGCCACCCCCCGCCCAAAAAAAAACCCAAACUGAUUCAAAUUUUCAUACUUUAAUGAAAUAUUUUAUAAUUUGCAAAUUUUUAAGUGAUAUAUGAAAAACCUAGAUCAGUGGAUCUCCUCUCUGGCUGCCCAUUAGAAUGUCCCAUGGAGAUUAAACUUUUUUCUUCAGUUUGUGGACCAAGAGUUUUGAUUUAUUUAGGGUGGAGUUCAGGGUCGGAAUGGUUUCAGAAGCUCCCAGGUGAUUCUGGUGUGAGUUGGAGCUGCGAGGCGCUGAACUAGAUUAUAAGAUGUUUCUGGGAAAGAACCACAUUUUAGGAAUUUGCCUCCCACCCAGUCCUCUGUGUUUAAUCAGCACCUGAUGACUUGGCAGGACUUGCCCCACCAGGGUCUGGCUUUGAAGGGUAGUGGACCCCAGGAUCAUUUGGAUUAAUCCUCUGCUACCUCUCUCUAUUCCUCAACCAAGAGUGAAUUUAAUUUUAUGUAAUUGGGUGAAAGUCUACGAAUCAUAAUUUUAAUAAAUUAAGGCUGGGUGUUUGUUUGAAAUUAGAUAAGAUAAACCUAAAGGUUUGAACAAGUUGUGGAUGGUUUGUAAAAAUUAAUCUUAUAAAAUAAAUGCUCUGUGUGAACAUACUGAUUAAAUUCAAAGGGAUAUUAUUUGGUUUUUCUGUAAAUUGAACCUUGAAAUAAAAGCACAACAAGGUUUUCUUAAGGCACUGGUCUGCUCUUUAACAAGAAUUUGUAAAGGGUUAUAAAAGGUUUACAAGAAUCUCACCUCAUGUUCAAACUAGUUAAGAUUGGAUAGAUUUAUCUAUAAGGUAUUACUAAAAAUUGGGGAUGACAUUAAUAGUAGACUGAUGCAAAGAUGAAAUUUGACUGUCUUGAACAAGAGUUUUAUGUAAUAGUAAAGGAUAAUGAAAGAUUUUUGUUUGCCUUGCAAAUAAACUACCAAAAAAAGAAGGGAAAGGCAAGAGACAAAUUGUUUGGAAAGUUGUCUUCCCUUUUAAUGAGUAAAGGUUUUGUGCCUUUAAAAAAAGUUUUUGAGUCAUCAUUUUGGCUAAUGAUAACCUGGAAUUCCAUUUUAUAGUAUCAAGUGUUUUAAACCUUUAACAUGUUCAGUAGGCUUCCCCAAAUCAAACUUUAGCUUCAAGGUUGUCUUUUUUGACCCCUAACUUUUGGAUGCCAACAGAGGGCCCCUGGAUUAUUUGACAUGUUUAAUUACAUGGGAUUGCCAAAAUAAAAAUAAUGUUUAAUCUUCUUCAGGUUACAUUUUAGUGAAUAACAUUAAUAUGUGUUCCAAAAUUGUAUGAGAUUUCUAAAAUUCUAACAUCUGAGUAUAUGAUAUCAAUUUGAAUUAGGAUUAUUUUGUUAAGUUAUUGUAAACCACAGAAAUAAUGCAAUUUGUCAAUCGUGUUUUUGACUGAGACUGUCUAAAGACAUCUUGUCGUUCACAGACAAUCGUAGUCUUGUUUUGAUCCUCUUCAAAAGAUGGUUUGUAAUCAGCUAUAGAACUUAGGUGCUCUUAAAUGCAGAUUUCCAAUAUCUUUAGAUUGUGAUAUUAGAAUAAAGGAAAAAUAUUCAGGACUCAUGAAGAGCUGAAAUAUUCAUGAAUUUAUCAGGCAGAACAAGAGUUAACUGGGCUGAACUAAUAGAAAACAGGUAAUCUGUUUAAUUUUUUGCUUAAAACAUUACCGAUCUUUUGUUUUUCAGAGUCAAGAAAACUUUUAUUUUGAACUAUUUACAGCAUUUAACAAUUGAGUAAAGUAUACUCCUGUGAAAAAAAUUUGGAGCGUAUUUGUUCCUCUGCUGGUUUCUCUAGAAUUUGGAAACUAUUUGGAAAAUGUGAUUUUAAAAUUGGACACUAUCCAAAGAUGAUGGCAGGAUGAGAAAGGAUAUUAUUCUCGCAAGUACUGCAGUUCCAAAGAGGCGAUCUGAACUGAUUACUCACUGUGGGGGAACCUAGCUGUCAUGUCAUGAGGACACUCAAAGCACUUAAUCUGUGGAGCUGCUCACAUGGCCAAGAACUGAGGCCUCCUGCCAAUAGCCAUGGGAGUACACCAUCUCGCAAGUGAAUCCUUUGGCCUUGCAAGUGAAUCAAAUUCAGCCUUCAGAUGACUGCAGCCCCCAACAUGUUGACUCCAACCUCAUGAGCGACCCCAAGCCAGAAUCAACCAGCUAAGUCACUCCUGAAUCACUCAGGAGUGAUUAGAUAGACCCUCAGCAACUAUUUGAGAUGAUAAAUGUUUGUUGUUUCCAGCUGCUGAGUGUUGGGGUCAUUUGUUACGCAGCAACAGAUAACCAAUACAACAGCUCCAGGUGAUGUGGAAGCACAUUAAAGUGUGAGGCACACUCAGCCAGACCAUAAGCUCCUGGAAGGCAGACACCAAUUUGGUGGUUUCCAUGUCUUCAAGGCUUAGUGGAGUGCCUGACAUGCAAUACAUUUUUGUUGGACUAAAGACAAGGUUAAAUUGCCCUGUUUUUAAAACAUUAAAACUUUUCUUUUGUAAUAAAUAAUGCAUGUACACACAUAGGAAAUUAUUCCAGCAGUGCUAAAGGGUAUUUUCAGUGACAAGUAAAUCUCCCUGCAGACUGUUGAUUGAUAGCAAACUCUGUUACCAACUUCCUUCCUUUGAGAUAAGCUAGUAGCAACCUACCACUAACAGAGUGCAUUUUUUUUUCUUUUUUUCCACCUCCAAAAGUAAUACUUGCCUCAAAAUCAAAUAUAAACUGCAUAUAAGUAGAAAAAAGAGAAAAAGAAAAAAAGGCUCUUCUUCCAAACGUUCCCUAGAAGCAACCACUAUUUAUAAUUCAAUGUAUAUCUUUCUGGAUGGUUUUUAGAAAUCUUUUAUCCACGUACAUGUUUGGGUUUGUAUUGUUCCCCAGAUGGAAUAUUAUGCAUUUGAUCUGCGAUUUGUGCAUUUCACUCGGUGACCUACACUGGCCAUCUUUCCAAGUCAAUUCAUAGAGCCCUAUCUCGUUUUUUAAUUGGCUGCCAUACUCUUCCAGGGCAACCACUGCUGACCUGACCCAGCUCCUACCCCAGCCCAGGCCUGUGCUUGAAUCUCCUUGGCCUGGUUCCAGAGGCUGUAAACUUAACCACUAAGCCACUGUUCCUCCGCUUACCUUCUCUUUUUGCCUCUUGGUGGACAUCUGGGUUGCCUUUUUUCUUCUUCUUUUUUUUUUUUCUCCUGAGACAGGGUCUCCUUCUAUCGUCCAGG